UACGUAGGGGGCGAGCGUUGUCCGGAAUUAUUGGGCGUAAAGAGCGUGUAGGCGGUUCGGUAAGUCUGCUGUGAAAUCCUGGGGCUCAACCCUGGGCCUGCAGCGGAUACUGCCGGGCUAGAGGGUGGUAGAGGUGAGUGGAAUUGCGAGUGUAGCGGUGAAAUGCGCAGAUAUUCGGAGGAACACCAGUAGCGAAGGCGGCUCGCUGGGCCACUCCUGACGCUGAGACGCGAAAGCGUGGGGAGCGAACAGG
rnacentral:rRNA from 1 species